rnacentral:rRNA from 1 species
GACGAACGCUGGCGGCGUGCUUAACACAUGCAAGUCGAACGAUGAAGAAGAGACACGCGAACUUCGGUUCAAAUUUCACUUCGGAUUAGUGGCAGACGGGUGAGUAACGCGUGAGCAACCUACCUCUUACAAAGGGAUAGCCUCGGGAAACCGUGAUUAAUACCAUAUGACACAUUCAUAAGGCAUCUUAAGAAUGUUAAAGCUACGGCGGUAAGAGAUGGGCUCGCGUCCCAUUAGCUAGUUGGUGAGGUAACGGCCCACCAAGGCGACGAUGGGUAACCGGACUGAGAGGGUGAACGGUCACAUUGGAACUGAGACACGGUCCAAACUCCUACGGGAGGCAGCAGUGGGGAAUAUUGCACAAUGGAGGGAACUCUGAUGCAGCGACGCCGCGUGAGCGAUGAAGGAAUUCGUUUCGUAAAGCUCUGUUCUAUGGGAAGAAAAGGACUGUACCAUAGGAGAAAGCCCCGGCUAAAUACGUG